GUCGAACGCUUUGUGGUUCAACUGAUUUGAAGAGCUUGCUCAGAUAUGACGAUGGACAUUGCAAAGAGUGGCGAACGGGUGAGUAACACGUGGGAAACCUACCUCUUAGCAGGGGAUAACAUUUGGAAACAGAUGCUAAUACCGUAUAACAAUGACAACCGCAUGGUUGUUAUUUAAAAGAUGGUUCUGCUAUCACUAAGAGAUGGUCCCGCGGUGCAUUAGCUAGUUGGUAAGGUAAUGGCUUACCAAGGCGAUGAUGCAUAGCCGAGUUGAGAGACUGAUCGGCCACAAUGGGACUGAGACACGGCCCAUACUCCUACGGGAGGCAGCAGUAGGGAAUCUUCCACAAUGGGCGAAAGCCUGAUGGAGCAACGCCGCGUGUGUGAUGAAGGGUUUCGGCUCGUAAAACACUGUUGUAAGAGAAGAAUGACAUUGAGAGUAACUGUUCAAUGUGUGACGGUAUCUUACCAGAAAGGAACGGCUAAAUACGUGCCAGCAGCCGCGGUAAUACGUAUGUUCCAAGCGUUAUCCGGAUUUAUUGGGCGUAAAGCGAGCGCAGACGGUUAUUUAAGUCUGAAGUGAAAGCCCUCAGCUCAACUGAGGAAUUGCUUUGGAAACUGGAUGACUUGAGUGCAGUAGAGGAAAGUGGAACUCCAUGUGUAGCGGUGAAAUGCGUAGAUAUAUGGAAGAACACCAGUGGCGAAGGCGGCUUUCUGGACUGUAACUGACGUUGAGGCUCGAAAGUGUGGGUAGCAAACAGGAUUAGAUACCCUGGUAGUCCACACCGUAAACGAUGAGUGCUAGGUGUUUGAGGGUUUCCGCCCUUAAGUGCCGCAGCUAACGCAUUAAGCACUCCGCCUGGGGAGUACGACCGCAAGGUUGAAACUCAAAGGAAUUGACGGGGACCCGCACAAGCGGUGGAGCAUGUGGUUUAAUUCGAAGCAACGCGAAGAACCUUACCAGGUCUUGACAUCCCUUGACAACUCCAGAGAUGGAGCGUUCCCUUCGGGGACAAGGUGACAGGUGGUGCAUGGUUGUCGUCAGCUCGUGUCGUGAGAUGUUGGGUUAAGUCCCGCAACGAGCGCAACCCUUAUUACUAGUUGCCAGCAUUCAGUUGGGCACUCUAGUGAGACUGCCGGUGACAAACCGGAGGAAGGUGGGGAUGACGUCAAAUCAUCAUGCCCCUUAUGACCUGGGCUACACACGUGCUACAAUGGCGUAUACAACGAGUUGCCAACCCGCGAGGGUGAGCUAAUCUCUUAAAGUACGUCUCAGUUCGGAUUGUAGGCUGCAACUCGCCUACAUGAAGUCGGAAUCGCUAGUAAUCGCGGAUCAGCACGCCGCGGUGAAUACGUUCCCGGGUCUUGUACACACCGCCCGUCACACCAUGAGAGUUUGUAACACCCAAAGCCGGUGGGGUAACCUUCGGGAGCCAG
rnacentral:rRNA from 1 species